UACCUGCAGCUCGAGUGGUAACCGCUAUUAUUGGGCCUAAAGCGUCCGUAGCCGGUUUGGUAAAUAUCUGGGUAAAUCGUGAGGCUUAACUUCACGAAUUUCGGAUAGACUGCCAGACUUGGGAUCGGGGGAGGUCAGAGGUACUCCAGGGGUAGCGGUGAAAUGUUGUAAUCCUUGGAGGACCACCGGUAGCGAAGGCGUCUGACUAGAACGAGUCCGAGGUGAGGGACGAAGCCCUGGGGCGCAAACCGGAUUAGAUACCCGGGUAGUCCAGGGUGUAAACGAUGUGGGCUUUGUAUUGGAGGUCCCACGUGGGCGUCCAGUGCAGAAGAGAAGUUGUUAAGCCCACCGCCUGGGAAGUACGGUAGCAAGGCUGAAACUUAAAGGAAUUGGCGGGGGAGCACAGCAACGGGAGGAGUGUGCGGUUU
rnacentral:rRNA from 1 species